UACGUAGGGUGCAAGCGUUGUCCGGAAUUAUUGGGCGUAAAGAGCUCGUAGGCGGUUUGUCGCGUCUGCUGUGAAAACGCGAGGCUCAACCUCGCGCCUGCAGUGGGUACGGGCAGACUAGAGUGUGGUAGGGGAGAUUGGAAUUCCUGGUGUAGCGGUGAAAUGCGCAGAUAUCAGGAAGAACACCCGUGCGAAGGCGGCUCUCGUGGGACGGUACUGACGCUGAGACGCGAAAGCGUGGGGAGCGAACAGG
rnacentral:rRNA from 1 species